rnacentral:rRNA from 1 species
GUGCAGCAGUCGCGAAUUUUUCUCAAUGGGGGCAACCCUGAAGGAGCGACGCCGCGUGGAGGAUGAAGGCUUUCGGGUUGUAAACUCCUGUCAUUUGAGAACAAGUGGCCGAAAUUAACUACUUCGGCCUUGAUAGUAUCAGAAGAGGAAGGGACGGCUAACUCUGUGCCAGCAGCCGCGGUAAUACAGAGGUCCCGAGCGUUGUUCGGAGUUCAUUGGGCGUAAAGGGUAGCGUAGGUGGCGCCGUAAGUGGGUGUGAAAU